GAAUUACUAUGAUGUUUAAUUUUUGCAUGCAUAUCUCUCUUAUUCACUGUCUCUGUUCAGUUCAGAGCAGUUGUUCAGAUUCAUCUUCUGUGGGCAGCAUUAAAGAGAGCGACUCACCCGCGUCUGCGAGAGAUUCAAAGAGAAACGGCGAGCAAACAGGUCACACUCAGAGCUCUGCACCCUCCACCUCUGUGUGAAUCAUUUCAACUCAUAAUGCAAGUCUUAAAAUUAAUACUCAACGGGUGCUGUUUCUUUAAUCAAAAACGCUGCCACAUAUUUCUGACUGGGAGAACUGGACACAAACUGGAUCCUGAGAUGCACAGCCGUGUAAAUACAGUAUUACAGAAGUCGUGUGUCGGCAGACGUCUCGCUUCUUUUACUUUCAGUUGCUCUUGAUAAUUGACUUUCAGGUAGUGAAUCAAAGUUGAUUCAACAUCUCAGGCCCACACACACAUCAGAAAGUAAAAAGAUGACAUUAAAGUCAACAUGACAUCAUAAUUCCUGAAAAUGUGCUCAUCCUCAGGCCAUCCGAGAUCAGGAUGAGUUUGUUUCUUCAUCAGAUUUGGAGAAAUGUAGCAUUGCAUCAGUGUCUCAGCAAUGGAUGCUCUGCAGUGAAUGGGUGCCGUCAGAAUGAGAGUCCAAACAGCUGAUAAAAACAUCACAAUA
rnacentral:lncRNA from 1 species